rnacentral:rRNA from 4 species
AGCAACAAAUGCCCUGCUUCCAGGAAAAGCCUCUAAGCAUCAGGUAACAUCAAAUCGUACCCCAAACCGACACAGGUGGUCAGGUAGAGAAUACCAAGGCGCUUGAGAGAACUCGGGUGAAGGAACUAGGCAAAAUGGUGCCGUAACUUCGGGAGAAGGCACGCUGACACGUAGGUGAAGUGAUUUACUCAUGGAGCUGAAGUCAGUCGAAGAUACCAGCUGGCUGCAACUGUUUAUUAAAAACACAGCACUGUGCAAACACGAAAGUGGACGUAUACGGUGUGACGCCUGCCCGGUGCCGGAAGGUUAAUUGAUGGGGUCAGCGCAAGCGAAGCUCCUGAUCGAAGCCCCGGUAAACGGCGGCCGUAACUAUAACGGUCCUAAGGUAGCGAAAUUCCUUGUCGGGUAAGUUCCGACCUGCACGAAUGGCGUAAUGAUGGCCAGGCUGUCUCCACCCGAGACUCAGUGAAAUUGAACUCGCUGUGAAGAUGCAGUGUACCCGCGGCAAGACGGAAAGACCCCGUGAACCUUUACUAUAGCUUGACACUGAACAUUGAGCCUUGAUGUGUAGGAUAGGUGGGAGGCUUUGAAGUGUGGACGCCAGUCUGCAUGGAGCCGACCUUGAAAUACCACCCUUUAAUGUUUGAUGUUCUAACGUGGACCCGUGAUCCGGGUUGCGGACAGUGUCUGGUGGGUAGUUUGACUGGGGCGGUCUCCUCCUAAAGAGUAACGGAGGAGCACGAAGGUUGGCUAAUCCUGGUCGGACAUCAGGAGGUUAGUGCAAUGGCAUAAGCCAGCUUGACUGCGAGCGUGACGGCGCGAGCAGGUGCGAAAGCAGGUCAUAGUGAUCCGGUGGUUCUGAAUGGAAGGGCCAUCGCUCAACGGAUAAAAGGUACUCCGGGGAUAACAGGCUGAUACCGCCCAAGAGUUCAUAUCGACGGCGGUGUUUGGCACCUCGAUGUCGGCUCAUCACAUCCUGGGGCUGAAGUAGGUCCCAAGGGUAUGGCUGUUCGCCAUUUAAAGUGGUACGCGAGCUGGGUUUAGAACGUCGUGAGACAGUUCGGUCCCUAUCUGCCGUGGGCGCUGGAGAACUGAGGGGGGCUGCUCCUAGUACGAGAGGACCGGAGUGGACGCAUCACUGGUGUUCGGGUUGUCAUGCCAAUGGCACUGCCCGGUAGCUAAAUGCGGAAGAGAUAAGUGCUGAAAGCAUCUAAGCACGAAACUUGCCCCGAGAUGAGUUCUCCCUGAGACUUUAGGUCUCCUGAAGGAACGUUGAAGACGACGACGUUGAUAGGCCGGGUGUGUAAGCGCAGCGAUGCGUUGAGCUAACCGGUACUAAUGAACCGUGAGGCUUAACCUUACA